rnacentral:rRNA from 1 species
UGCUCACAGAAAUUAUUGUAAGCAGUCUCUGCUCAAUGAAAAUUUAAAUAGCCGCAAGAUUUUUAUUGUGCUAAGGUAGCGUAAUCAUUUGUCUUUUAAUUGAAGACCAGUAUGAAAGAGAUCACAUUUUAACCAAUUUAUUAAUAAUUCCAUCAAAAUUAUUUUGAAUGUAAAAAAUCAUUCAUAAAAAAGAAAGACGACAAGACCCUAUCGAACUUAACUAAAGUUAGGCUGGGGCAGCCAAUUAAUAAAAAUUUUAAUAAAAAAAGUUAACCAUAAAGACCCAAUAAAAUUGAUUAAAAGAACAAGUUACCGUAGGGAUAACAGCGUAAUUAUUCUCUAAAGUUCAUAUUUAAAGAAAUGUUUGCGACCUCGAUGUUGAAUAUUAUCCUACUAGGUGCAACCACUGAGUAAGGAGGUCUGUUCGACCUUUAAUAAAUUACA